UACGGGGGGGGCAAGCGUUGUUCGGAAUUACUGGGCGUAAAGGGCUCGUAGGCGGCCAACUAAGUCAGACGUGAAAUCCCUCGGCUUAACCGGGGAACUGCGUCUGAUACUGGAUGGCUUGAAUCCGGGAGAGGGAUGCGGAAUUCCAGGUGUAGCGGUGAAUUGCGUAGAUAUCUGGAGGAACACCGGUGGCGAAGGCGGCAUCCUGGACCGGCAUUGACGCUGAGGAGCGAAAGCCAGGGGAGCAAACGGG
rnacentral:rRNA from 1 species